rnacentral:lncRNA from 1 species
CGCCCCCGGCCCCGCCCCCGCCGGGCAGCGCCGCCACUGCCGCGACCCCCGCGCCGGGCCCGCGACCCCCGCCCGCUGCGGCGGAGCGGCGCAGGGCGCUGCGCUCACCCCGCUCCGUUCCCUUCCCUAGAGGCCCGCAUUACAUAACGGCGCCGGAGCGAGCAGCUGCAGGAUUACACCGAGCGGAUUAGAGAUUACGUUGAUUCAGCAGAUUGUCCUGUGCAUGUUUGAGAAAGAUUACACCGGCAGAGUUAAGAAUACCCGUUUGCUGUGAGCAAAGCGUAGCUGUGAGGCAACUCAAGAGGACACCUUUGGGUGGGGACCUUGCUGUUACAGCCCAGUAUCACAGGGAAGUGCCAUUUCAGAUUUUCUUGUAUGGACAGGACACUUCAAAAGCUAGAGAAGCCACCUGAGGUCCCAUGAAAUCCAGAACCAUCUACUUAUAAAGUGCUGUUGCCUCUGACUAAGAACAAAAAUUGUUGUUGGAAUAAUAUGCGAACAGGUAACUUCUUCCAAGUUUUUACUUGGACACGUACAUCUAUAUAAUUAGAAUUCAUUAAAAUUGCAUUGAUUUUGAUAGCUGCCACUGGAAUUGUCACAACUGCUCUGCAGAGAUGCUAUCCCUCACUAAUUUACCAGCCUGUGGUACAAAUUCUGAAAGGAGUUGUUUGCUUUGAUCAAUCCUAAUAUUUCAGUUUGUGAUUGAUUAGCAGGCAGUCCAAAGUUGCUUACAAACAAGGAAGUGUGCAUCAGCCCCCUUUUAUCUUCUGUCAACAAUUCCCACUCCUCUCUCUUCCUUUUUUGGUGUUAAUAGUCUAGUAUUUUAGCCUCUGGACUAGGCAAUACAGCUGAGCCAACAUUUGGAUUAUAAAUGCCAACAAGUGACUUGGCUCUUUGGGGUUAAAGUGGCAUUGAGCCUGCAUUUGUUUUUUUUUUUAAUAGUCAGGACAGUCAGGUUACAAAAGUUUAAAUGCAAACAGACCAGCCAGUUUAGGGACACAGCAUUGUACCAGCUACUAGGAAGAAAACUCUAUCCCAGCUGAAACCAGGACACCUGCAUGUCCUCAAAAAGAAUAAUUAGGAAUAAGUGUAUUUAGAGGCUGCUAUUACCUCUGUCAGUUUUA